rnacentral:rRNA from 1 species
UACGAAGGGGGGCUAGCGUUGCUCGGAAUCACUGGGCGUAAAGCGCACGUAGGCGGAUUGCUAAGUCAGGGGUGAAAUCCUGGAGCUCAACUCCAGAACUGCCUUUGAUACUGGCGACCUUGAGUCCGGGAGAGGUGAGUGGAACUGCGAGUGUAGAGGUGAAAUUCGUAGAUAUUCGCAAGAACACCUGUGGCGAAAGCGGCUCACUGGACCAUAACUGACGCUGAUGCACGAAAGCUAGGGGAGCAAACAGG